GGCCCGGUAGCUCAGUCGGUAGAGCAGAGGAUUGAAAAUCCUUGUGUCGGCGGUUCGAUUCCGUCCCAGGCCA
rfam:Acidovorax temperans strain KY4 Contig_23, whole genome shotgun sequence.